rnacentral:tRNA from 1 species
GGCUCCAUCGUCUAACGGCUAGGACACAGGAUUCUCAUUCCUGCAAUCGGGGUUCGAUUCCCCGUGGAGUCACCA